AAUGGUAAAUAUACACCAACAGGUGUUAACUUAAAAAGAGACCUAAGUGAGAGUCAAAAAACCCAGGAUGACAAUACUGAAGAAAAGAAAUACCAGAGGCCAAUAGAAAAUGAAAAUGAUGAAGAAAAUAAACGUCAAGAUACACCGACAGGUGUUGUUAUCUUAAAUAAAGUUCUUUGUAAGGGUCAGGAUGACAAUACAGAAGAAAAUAAAGACCAGAGGCCAAUAGAAAAAGAAAAUGAUGAAGAAAAUAAACGUCAAGAUACACCGACAGAUGUUGUUAUCUUAAAUAAAGCUCUUUGUAAGGAUCACGAUGACAAUAUAGAAGAAAAUAAAGACACGAGGCCAAUAAAAAAAGCAAAUGAUGAAGAAAAUAUUAAAUAUACACCAAUAGAUGCCGAAAAGCCAGAUAAAGACGAUAAUUUGGUCAAUAUUGAAAAACCCUCUGAAACAAAUAUUAAGCAUACUGAAAAAGUAAUUCGCAAAUCAAAACUUAUUACAGUUUCAAAAGAAAAUAAAAUAGAACGAGAUCCAGUGAAUGAGAUUUAUACCGAAUUAGUUAAUAAUUUAAAAAAUCAAGGUUUAUGGAAAAAUAUCGGUGACCAACGUGUGAAUGAAAUUUUCUUUGAAAUAAUAAUGGCUAAGUUGAAGAAUAAAAAUAUAAAAAUUAGUUUUGCAUCAUACAACACAUUUGUGUCUGUGGGCAACGGGACUUGGUAUUGUGUCGUGUGCUCUGUGGAAUUAUUUAAAAUGGGCGUGCACUUUACUAUUGAUGGUCAUUUGAAGAAUUUAAAAAAAUACACUUUUAUAGAUAAAUACGAUAUUAAUUUAAUUCGUCGGAAUAGGCAAUUUUAUCACUGCGGAAUAUGUAAUAUAAUGAUCACGAAAGAAGAGUUACAAACACACAUAGCAUGGAAUGAACACAGUAGUAAUUUGUCUGAUAGUAUAAAAAAUCGGCACAGAAAUUUAAGAGAUUUAAAAACAAUCGAACUCAGUCUGGGAAAGGAAACACAAUUCCAGGACGUUUCGUUACACACAAAAAUUGUUGCAAACUAUAAAUUCGAAGCUGUCAUCACUACGAGUGUUGCCAAGAAAAAUAAAAUCAUCACCCACGCUGGCAAAUCUUUUAAGUUAACGUGGGACGCGUGGCAGGGUGUUACGAAGAAUAAACACGGCUACAAGUGUAUAUUGUGCAGGGUCGAAAUGAAAAACUACGAUUUAUCGGGCCACGUGACUUCAGAGAGACAUACAAAAUUAUUGAAAUCAUUUGACUAUAAAUACUUGCCAGCAUUGAUAAGGAAGAUCAAUGACUCGACUGUCAAUUGCCUCACUUGUGACAGUGAAGUAUCGAGCAAAGAACACAUAUUAUUAGAUCACAUAAAAGGUAAAAAACACUUAAGAAACCAUAAAUAUAUCCUUAAUGUGUCAGAUAAAAGUUGCUACGAUGAUGUACUUAAUCUGUAAUGUCAAAUGUCUACGAUAUGAUAUCUGUCAACAGAUAAUGACAUUUCUCUAAAAAAAUUAUAUUUAUACAUAUGUUUUAAAGACUGAUUAUAUUUUUUUUAUAUCUAAUAUCUUUAUUGUUACGAGUCGUUUGAGAAAAAACUUAAAAGUCUACGUCUCGUAGCAAUUACGCUGUUUAGAGAAUUGCUUCUGAGACUGUUAUAUCUUUUUUUAAUUUGUAAUCUUUUCUGUAAGUAUUUGCGGCCAGGCUCAACUUUCCGUCUUUCGACUUCGCCUAAUAUAUUCUACUUUCAAAUUAUAUUCUGGUCAAAUAAAUGUUAAAUGUCAGUGAAAUACUGACGCAUAGACAAGCUGUUUGAAAGUUAAUUUUAUAUUUUAGAUUAACUGUCAAAAUGUAUUGCACAUUCCGGACAUUUUGUAAGACAGAGUCCUAGAUUAAAUUAUGUCUAUUAGUACAUUAUAUAUAAUGAACGGUGCAAAUUAUUAGUUAACUCUUAAAGAUUCUUUAAGUUGCAUUUAUAGUGGAUAAAUCCUUAAUAAAUAGUUUAUGUAGGUUAGGUAACUUUUAAUGAACGAUUCUGAGUAGGAGUGACUGUGAUUCUUAUUGUAUUUUUAUAGUGAUUUUCUCUCUCUAUGAUGAUUUUUCUUUUUUACCUUUUCUAUAUUGAAAUAACUUUGUUGAUUUAUUUUUUACAAAAGUGACCAAAGUAAUUUUUCGUGGCUUGUUUUAAUUCAAUUAAAACAAAUUAAAGCUGCAAAUAAGUAAUUUGUAAUAUUUUUGUAAAUUUUAAAUUUAUGAAUAUCCUCUCAUAUUGUAUAGCGAAUUUAAUUA